rnacentral:rRNA from 1 species
UACGGGGGAUGCGAGCGUUAUCCGGAUUUAUUGGGUUUAAAGGGUGCGCAGGCGGGAGAUUAAGUCGGCGGUGAAAUUUUGCAGCUCAACUGUAAAAGUGCCAUCGAUACUGGUUUUCUUGAGUGUGGAUGAAGUAGGCGGAAUUUGUGGUGUAGCGGUGAAAUGCAUAGAUAUCACGAGGAACUCCGAUUGCGCAGGCAGCUUACUAAACUACUACUGACGCUCAGGCACGAAGGCGUGGGGAUCAAACAGGAUUAGAUA